UACGAAGGGGGCUAGCGUUGUUCGGAAUUACUGGGCGUAAAGGGUGCGUAGGCUGUUCUAUAAGUCAGGAGUGAAAUCCCCAGGCUCAACCUGGGAAUUGCUUUUGAGGCUAUAGAGCUUGAGUGCGAGAGAGGUGAGUGGAAUUCCCAGUGUAGAGGUAAAAUUCGUAGAUAUUGGGAGGAACACCAGUGGCGAAGGCGGCUCACUGGCUCGUAACUGACGCUGAGGCACGAAAGCGUGGGGAGCAAACAGG
rnacentral:rRNA from 1 species